AUGGCUUACUAUUCAGAUCAUCAUGCUUAUGCGAGCAACACUACAAACAGCACGGAAAGUAUUCAAGACCUGAUAAGUAAUAUUUCCCAUCGAUUAGAUGAUUUAGCUCGGCAGCGAGAAGUAGUUUUUUAUGAUAGGCCUAGCUCUUAUGAUCCUUUUUCUAGAGGCCAUCCUUAUGUUGCUCCUACCUGCCAUAUUUGUGGAUUUCAGGGCCAUACGCCCGCUGAAUGUCAGCGUGGUUACUCUUACCCUCCAGAUUGUUUUGGCAUGAGCUUCGCUCAAGAGCAUAGCUCAUACCAAAACAAUUACUCACAUGGGUGGCCUGAAAACCCGAAUAUGUCAUAUAGGAGCAACAACCUUCAGAUCUCACCAUUUGUUUCUAGUAAUCAUAUGCAGGGAUUUAGGUACAAUGAGGAGAGCCACAGCUAUGCACCACAACAAUGCUAUUCACCUCCUACUCAUAUACCUCAACACCAGGAGACAUGUCCAAUGGAGUUAAAUGGUCCUCCAUUUGGUCAACCAUCACCUUCAACACAAGUGCCUACUCAAGAUGAGUUCGAUGACAUAGACAAGCUCACACUUUUGAGUCUCGAGUUCACUUGGAGUGCCGAGGAUGACCCUAUUAGGAAGGUUAUACUAGAGGAAAUGAAGAAGAUCAAGAGUGGGAAUGAGCUAGUGGAAGAAGUAAAGAAGAUUGAGAAGAACAUCAACGCUGGCAGUACUAUUUCUUCACAGCUUGAGCUGAGUAAUUCUGGGAUUCCCCUUGAUACAUGUGAGGUUCCAAUACCGUCACAUCCAGCUGAGCAAGAUAGCAAGUGCCUUGAGCAUGAGAUACCUCAGAUUGAAGAUGAACUAGAAGACAAGGAACAAGAUGGUCAAGAGCUGCAAUUCCCAAGUGAUCAAGUUGAAGACUCAUCAUCUACUACUCCUGAAGAAGUACAAGAAGUUGUUGUAGAUGAAGAUGAAGAACCUGAGAUUCAUUGUCCUAUUAUCAUACAUGAGUAUGAUGUGUCAGGUUUACCCAAUCCUUUUGAUGACAUGAGUCCUUAUGAUUUAUUUGCUUCUACCUUGCAUUACAUGAUGCCAUCACUUAAGAUUGAUUUGAAAAAUCAUUUACUUGGGUAUGAUGAUACAUAUACUGUUGGUGGCAUUGCUCUCAUUUGUGAUGAUCACAAUUACUUUCCUCAUGCUAGUCUUGAGCUUAAUGAUAAAUGUCAUCCUCGUGUGAGUAUUAACCAUGCUGAUUUCUGCCAUCCUAAACAUGUGCUUUAUAGUUAUGCUUAUAUAAUUGGAUAUUCCAUUGAUGACUUGGAGGGCAUCGACCGUAUCACUUGUAGUUGUUUGUGUGAGUCUUAUUUAAGGCUUUUGCUACUGCACUGUUUACUACAUGCUGACCAGGUUCGUGGUGACAUUCCUUGGGAUCCUGGUGGAGUCAGAGCAUGGCGAUGA
rnacentral:rRNA from 1 species